rnacentral:rRNA from 1 species
UUCGUAUAGUGGCAUCACUUAAGAAUUAAAACUCCGGUGGUUAGAGAUGGGCAUGCGUAACAUUAGCUAGUUGGUAAGGUAACGGCUUACCAAGGCAACGAUGUUUAGGGGACCUGAGAGGGUGAUCCCCCACACUGGUACUGAGACACGGACCAG